rnacentral:rRNA from 1 species
CCUACGGAUGACAGCAGUGAGGAAUAUUGGUCAAUGGCCGUAAGGCUGAACCAGCCAAGUCGCGUGAAGGAAGCAGGAUCUAUGGUUUGUAAACUUCUUUUAUAGGGGAAUAAAGGUAUCCACGUGUGGAUAUUUGCAUGUACCCUAUGAAUAAGCAUCGGCUAACUCCGUGCCAGCAGCCGCGGUAAUACGGAGGAUGCGAGCGUUAUCCGGAUUUAGUGGGUUUAAAGGGUGCGUAUGUUGUUUUUUAAGUCAGCGGUGAAAGUUUGUGGCUCAACCAUAAAAUUGCCGUUGAAACUGGAAGACUUGAGUGUGUUUGAGGUAGGCGGAAUGCGUGGUGUAGCGGUGAAAUGCAUAGAUAUCACGCAGAACUCCGAUUGCGAAGGCAGCUUACUAAGCCAUAACUGACACUGAAGCACGAAAGCGUGGGGAUCAAACAGGAUUAGAUACCCGGGUAGUC